UUCAAAACGGUCACAAGUGGAUGAAGCAU
rnacentral:piRNA from 1 species